rnacentral:rRNA from 1 species
UACGAAGGGGGCUAGCGUUGUUCGGAAUUACUGGGCGUAAAGCGCACGUAGGCGGCUUUCUAAGUCAGGGGUGAAAUCCUGGAGCUCAACUCCAGAACUGCCUUUGAUACUGGAAAGCUUGAGUUCGGGAGAGGUGAGUGGAACUGCGAGUGUAGAGGUGAAAUUCGUAGAUAUUCGCAAGAACACCAGUGGCGAAGGCGGCUUACUGGUCCGGUUCUGACGCUGAGGCGCGAAAGCGUGGGGAGCAAACAGG